rnacentral:rRNA from 1 species
UACGUAGGGACCGAGCGUUGUCCGGAAUCAUUGGGCGUAAAGAGCGUGUAGGCGGCUAUUUAAGUCCUGCGUGAAAUCCUGCGGCUCAACCGCAGACGGUCGUGGGAAACUGGAUGGCUAGAGUGCGGGAGAGGAGAGUGGAAUUCCCGGUGUAGCGGUGAAAUGCGCAGAUAUCGGGAGGAACACCAGUGGCGAAGGCGACGAUCUGGGUAGAUACUGACGCUGAGGUGCGAAAGCGUGGGAGCAACAGG